rnacentral:lncRNA from 1 species
GAGAGAGAGAGAGAGAGAGAGAGAGAGAGAGAGAGAGAGAGAGAGGGAGAGAGAGAGAGACAGAGACACAGACACAGACAGAGGCAGAAAGCCUGAGAGAAGGUGGACGGACCCAGCAGCCGCAGCCCGGCUCCUCCCGGACCGGGCACCCUGUCGACGGCCCCGACUCUCCGGGCCACCCCAGGAGCAGCUCAAGUCCUGGGCAGAAGUCAUGACUUAAGAGACUUACUUCAAACUCCUUGGAGUGCCUCCCUGCUAAAUAUCUGCUUAAGUCUGGAGGUUCAAAUGAAGUCCUCCCCCCACCAUCGUGUGUCACCCCCCUCCUUCUCUCCCGAGUUUGGAGGACUCUAACCUUGAUUUUCCAGCUUUGAGCUCCCUCUGGAAGCGGUAAGAGCAAUUACUCCAUAUUACUGUACAUAUUCCACUGCCAUGGUGGAUCGCAGGUGUUGCAG